rnacentral:misc_RNA from 1 species
CGAGAGUGAAAACUCCCUAAACCAACUGUUUAUCUACCUGUUUCGUUGCUUCGGCAGGCGGCCCCCGGGGGGGUUGUACCUGAAAAGGCGCCUGCCGAAGGCACCCAGAACUCUUGCUGUCAGUUGUCAUCUGAGCUACAAAAAAAAUGAAUCA